AGCACCAUCCUUGACCCAACUUCAAAAGCGGAGCCAAUCAGUUGCAGGAUGAAUAUGGAGCCUGGCACGGGAGAGCACCUGGGAAAUAUCGGCCAGGUGCUGGGCAGGCAGACUCUGCCUUGACAGCAUACAUCAGAGGAGCACAGG